CAGCCUGAAGUGAUGACUCACAUUCAUGUCUCUUCUCUGAUGGAUGUCUUGAAGAAAUUUUUGUGUAUCUGACCAGGACUU
ensembl:snoRNA SNORD111B small nucleolar RNA SNORD111